GGUCAAUGAUGAGAAGUAAAAGGUCUGAUUACCCAUAAUCCUCUCCCCUGCCCGUGCUCCCAGCAGCCUUUGCUCUGUGCUGCCAGCACGUUACAAGUAAUACCGUGCUGGUCUCUGAGCUGCUGACACACAGGAAGUGACACCAUAUUUGGAGUCUGAGUGCAGACAAUCUUGGCUCCUUAUGGUCAUGUCCAACAAAAACCAUCACAGUGGAGUGUCGGGCGUGGGGAGAGGGGGGGGCUGAUCUAAAGUUUUCAACCUGAGACC